GAUGAACGCUGGCGGCGUGCCUAAUACAUGCAAGUCGAGCGAACAGACGGUGAGCGCGCGCCCCUAAGGUUAGCGGCGGGCGGGUGAGUAACGCGUGCAUAACCUACUUCUAUUACUGGGAUGACUACGGGGGGCAGGAGCCACUACCAGAGAAUAUGUCGAACGGCAUGGUUCAAUAGUGCAUGACGGUUUUGCUGUCUCUUAUAGAUGGAGUCGCGCCGCAUUAGCUAGUUGGUAAGGUAACGGCUUACCAAGGCAACGAUGCGUAGCCGACCUGAGAGGGUGAUCGGCCACACUGGAACUGAGACACGGUCCAGACUCCUACGGGAGGCAGCAGUAGGGAAUAUUCGGCAAUGGGCGCAAGCCUGACGCAGCAAUGCCGCGUGAGUGAUGAAGGUCUUCGGGUCGUAAAGCUCUGUUAUUAGGGAAGAACAAAAGUGUAAGUAUAUCUGGACGUCUUGACGGUACCUAAUCAGAAAGCCCCGGCUAACUACGUG
rnacentral:rRNA from 1 species